GUUCCCAGUACCUGGAGUGACCUCCGGAGGAGAUGCUUUUCUUUGAGCCGUCAGAUUUCCUCGUGCCCUAGGCUGACGCUCACAUGACAUGUGUGUAGCGGGGUAGCUCUUGCAGGCUGCAGUUGCCUUCAGCUUCCCUGGGACCCUCAAGCCUGAAAGAAUGGAUGUGAAGCUUUCCAGCUCAGAUCUUCAGAAAGGAGAACAGUUGGCUCCAAUCAAGCCUGUUCUGUUCACAGACUUGUGAAGGGGAAGGGGCACACCAGUUUGAACCCUCGAUUCUGGGACUGGAGGUGUCUGGGAUCUGCUACAAAAAGAUAAGGGGCCUUAAAAAAACCAACAAGAGUUAAAUGUGGCCCCGAGUGUCCCCCUUCUGCCCCAUCCUCUUGUCCCUGCCUUAUAGCUGAUCUGUGGCCCUUAGAUGUGAGAUUCUGCAAGACUGGGGUUUUCAUCUGCAGCUUGGAGCAGGGGUGGUUGGUCUGCCAAACCAUGACUGUCCAGCGUGUCCCUUUCCUGUACUCUGCCACCAAGCCAGGCCCCAGGCUGUGGGGACCACGAGCAAUCAUGGACAUUCCUGUCAAUGACAAAGAACUUCAAAAAUUUGCAGCUGGCAGGAAGAAUCAGGGCAGCCGGUGAGUCAGAGGCUCGGGAUUGUUAGAAAUAAAUGUCAUUUCCGAGGGAGAUGGUGGUGCAGCGGGAGAAACAGCUGCUCCCAGUUGCCUUUGCUCUCUUUCUUGCUGUGUCCACAGUCCUUGAAUUUGCCUGAUGCUAGCAGCUGGAUGACUUCAUUCUUCACUAUUUGGGAGGUAAGAGGCAGUGCAGGGUGGGAUGCUAGGUGCAACGCAGUCUCUGUCAGGGCCAACUUUUACCUUCUCUUCCCACAUAUAAUUAUUGAGGGGACCUGGAGGAGUGUAAUCAAGAAGGUUUACGCCAUCAGAUUGGGGUUCCUGGGUGCCCUCCCUGGCUGGGAUGGACUUCCUGUGGGAGGCAGACCUGGAGCCAGGAGUGGGGAGAGGAGAUGCCAGCUUGUGGAUAAAGUGUUCUCUCCAGCCCUUCCUCACCAGAGGGUGAAACUUCAUCAGGAUGAAGCCCAGCGCCAGCCGGAAGCUGCCUUUGCAGCAAAUGAGAGAUUCCUUCCAUCUCUGAAAUUCUCAUGCUCAGGGGGAGCUGUCCUCCAAGGCCUGUGGUCAAGAGAGGGGACUGUGUGUUGAGGGUGUGUGAGGAGGGGCAGAGGCUCAUCUCCCAGGCAAGGAAGCCAGAACGAGCUACAGUGCAAAAGGCCUUUGGAAAGAUUGGAGAGUUCUCAGGUGCUGGGGACCCGGUAGACUUCCAAGCUGUGGAUGAAGCUGCUGAGUGAGGCCUCUGCCCCACAGACCACACUCAUCUAGUGCAGAGAUGGUCACUCAGGAGGUGUUUGUCAUACUAGUGGGGACCAUGAAAACCCUGAAACCCAAAGGCUCAGGCCCAGAGGUGGACAAGAGUCUUAAAAUGCACAAGAGUGCCUCCCAAGUUUUUCUUUGAUUUGACCAGCGUUGACCAGCACCUGUUAUACCAGGGGAACUGCACGUGUGUGUGUGCUAAGUUCUGUCCUGUCUGACUAUUUGUGACCCUAUGGACUGGAGCCCGCCAGGUUCCUCUGUCCAUGAGAUUCUCCAGGCAAGAAUACUGGAAUGGGUUGCCAUCCUCCUCCAGGGAAUCUUCCUGACACAGGGAUCCAACCUCAUCUCCUGCAGCUCCUGCAUUGCAAGCGGAUUCUUUACUGCUGAGCCACUGGGGAUGCUCAGGGAGAACUGCACCAGCCUCCAGAGGAUGUAGCUGUCGCUGGUAACACAUGAGAUGAAAAGUCCAAAUGGGAGCUGCUGUCAUAUUCCCCAGAGCCCAAAGGCAUUCCUAGAGAAAUGGGGGAAGAAGUGGUCCUCAGAAACUGCCAAUAUUUUAAAAAUCCUAUUCUUUUGGAUUUGUUUUUCCAUCUGGCACAACUCUAGGAACACAGGGACUCCAAUCUGCUUAUUUGGCACUUACCUGCCCAGCCUGACCUUCUCAUCUAAGACCAGACUUGAACACAAAGCCUGGAGGGUUGGUGCCCAGAAAUGGGGCAGAGGAGGGGAGCCUCCAGGGGAGCCCCGAGCCCCUUUCUCCUGUGUCUUACUGGCUUCCAAGAAAACCAAGGUGUGUCUGGUUGAGCUUGGCUGUGUG
ensembl:lncRNA